rnacentral:rRNA from 1 species
GAUGAACGCUGGCGGCGUGCCUAAUACAUGCAAGUCGAGCGAACGGACGAGAAGCUUGCUUCUCUGAUGUUAGCGGCGGACGGGUGAGUAACACGUGGAUAACCUACCUAUAAGACUGGGAUAACUUCGGGAAACCGGAGCUAAUACCGGAUGAUAUUUUGAACCGCAUGGUUCAAAAGUGAAAGACGGUCUUGCUGUCACUUAUAGAUGGAUCCGCGCUGCAUUAGCUAGUUGGUAAGGUAACGGCUUACCAAGGCAACGAUGCAUAGCCGACCUGAGAGGGCGAUCGGCCACACUGGAACUGAGACACGGUCCAGACUCCUACGGGAGGCAGCAGUAGGGAAUCUUCCGCAAUGGGCGAAAGCCUGACGGAGCAACGCCGCGUGAGUGAUGAAGGUCUUCGGAUCGUAAAACUCUGUUAUUAGGGAAGAACAUAUGUGUAAGUAACUGUGCACAUCUUGACGGUACCUAAUCAGAAAGCCACGGCUAACUACGUG